UACGGAGGGUGCAAGCGUUAUCCGGAUUCACUGGGUUUAAAGGGUGCGUAGGUGGGCUGGUAAGUCAGUGGUGAAAUCUCCGGGCUUAACUCGGAAACUGCCGUUGAUACUAUCAGUCUUGAAUGUUGUGGAGGUAAGCGGAAUAUGUCAUGUAGCGGUGAAAUGCUUAGAUAUGACAUAGAACACCGAUAGCGAAGGCAGCUUGCUACACAAUAAUUGACACUGAGGCACGAAAGCGUGGG
rnacentral:rRNA from 1 species